CCAUAGUCGGGUUUUUUUUCUCGGUUUGACUCGGAUUAUCGGAUUGGUGCGGUUUAUCGGUUUUCUUUGUACACCCCUAUGAAGGAUGCUGCGACUGUGUCUCAUCCAGCAGAUCCAGACAGGGCAAAGCAGACCAAUACUGUUGCUUUGGAUACAAUAGCAGAAGAUAAACAAAGCAGUAGCCAUCAUGAAAAAGCUGUUGCAAUAAACAGAGAACACACAGAGGUGUAUUUGCAACCAAAAGAGAAUUUGUCAGUUCCUAAUACACCUUUUGUUCCAAAAAAUACUGGACAACUAAUUUAUGAUCAAGUUACAUCUGAGAAUGCAGCAAACCAACAAAAAUCAAGGCAUCCUAAGGAGGACACCGAUCAGAAUGCAAGAUCACAACAAAACAAGAAUAAUUUUCAGCAGAGAGCAGCAGAACAGGAAGCAAAACAUUUUGGGAAAGCUGCUGGAAGAGGGAUUCAGAAAGUGAGAAGAUAUCCUCCCAUCUCUACAUCCAGUAUUUAUAGAGGGGAAGAAAUUUUUCCAAUUGAAACAGUAAAAUCCACUACGACAAAACUGCAACAUACUGCAGCAAACAAAGCAGGAAACAAUACAGCUUCAAUCAACCUUGCCAAAGAGUACGGGGAAAAAGAAGAGCUGAGAUGAGAUGCAGUAUUCAGUAGUUUAAACUCUAAUGCAUCAAUUUUUGAUACAAGAAACAAUGCUAAGGCAGAGCAUUGUCAAAGGGAAAGAAGUUGGGACGGCAGGGUGAUCGAAGACGUCAACAUAAGGAGGCCCCCAAUGCGAAAGGCAAAAACUAAAUAUAUAGGAAAGAAGUUGGGACGGCAGGGUGAUCGAAGACGUCAACAUAAGGAGGCCCCCAAUGCGAAAGGCAAAACAAAAAUAGGUUGAUCAAAAGAUACUUUCUAAAUCCAAGAAUAAAGUAUGAAAUUUGAAGAAUUCAUGAAAAACCAGGUGGAAGAAGACUUCAUACUACAAAUCGAAUCUUUCACAACAACAGAGAAAAAAGGGAACCUUUAUGGUUUCCUCAUCUUUUUAUUUUACCAUCACAUUAGUAUAAUUCUAUGUAAUAUCAUCACAGAAUAUGUUAUAAACUCUGUGAUGAUCAGUCAUUUCUUAGUUCUUGCGAGUUCAUUCUUUUUACAUGCUGGCUAAUCCAGGAGGCCUUUGCCUCAAUAGGAUAGCUAAGGUAAGGUCCUUGCCGGCAGUGGUUUAUGGGUAACAUUGCCGGCGAAUCCGCCUUAUUUUAUUUCUCCUAUUGUAAUUUUCCUUUCAUGUUUAUUAAUAAAAUAAAAACCCUAGGCAAUUGCCUAGUGGACCAAAAUAAAAAGAAUUCCAAAUCCUGGCGACAAACAUCCGAAUAAGAAUUUUGAUGACUCUGUGCAGUCUUCAAUCUUUCCUUAAUGAUCUUGACCUUUUCCAUGGCCUGGUGCACAAGGUCUGGCCCUAUCAUUUCAGCUUCCCCAACUUCAAACCACCCAAUAUGUGACCUACAUAUUCUACCAUACAGUGCCUCCAAUGGUGCUAUUAGGAUACUAGCAUGGAAGCUGUUGCUAUAUGCAAACUCUAUGAGUGGCAAAUGAUUAUACCAGCUGUUUUUGAAAUCAAUGGUGCAAGCACGCAACAUGUCUUCAAGCAUUUGGUCCGCUCGGCUUUCCCGUCAAUCUGAGGGUUAUAAGUUGUGCUAAGAUUUACCUGCAUGCCCAAACCUGCUGAAAUUUCUUCCAAAAGUUGGCCAUGAACUGAGCCCCUCGAUCUGAGAUGAUUGAAACCGGAGUACCAUGCAACCUGACUAUUUCCUUGAUAUACAACUAAGCAUACUGUUAUGUUGUUUCGGUAGAUUUGACUGGCAAGAAGUGUGCUCACUUUGUGAGUCGGUCCAAAAUCACCUAAAUUAAAUCAAGCUUGCAUGGAGUGCAUGGAAAUCCUACCACAAAAUCCAUAUUGACCAUCUUUCAUUUCCACACUGGAAUUUCUAUGCUUUGAGCCAAUCCUCCGGGACUUUGAUGUUCAGCCUUCACCCAUUGUAAUUUGGACAUCUGGCUACACAGUCCGCCACAUCCCUUUUCAUGUUAUUCCACCAAUAGACUUCCUUGAGAUCAUGAUACAUUUUCGUAGAACCGGGGUGCACAAAAUACCUAGAAGUGUGAGCUUCUGCUAUGAUUCAUUCCCGAAGACCGUCAACAUCCGAAACACAUAGACGGACUUGGCACUGCAGGGUACCAUCCUCCCUGAUAAGGGAAAAGGUUGUGGUCUUGUAUUUAUGAAUCCCUUCUUUCAAAUGUAGCACGAAUGGGUCGUUGAAUUGCUUUUACUUCACCUCUGCCGCAAGCGAGGAUUCAGCCAUGUUUUGUACAACUAUCAUUCUGUCAUCAGAUUCCACAAGACGAACUCCUAAACUAGCCAAUUGAUGAACCUACCGGGCUAAUGGUCUUUAUUCCGACCUCAAACGAGCCAAGCUCCCUAUAUAUUUCGGGCUGAAAGCAUCGGCCACGACGUUAGCCUUUCCCGAGUGAUAGAGAAUAUCGAUGUCAUAGUACUUGAGUAACUCUAGCCACCUCUUUUGUCUCAGAUUCAACUCAUUUUGCUGAGAUGAGGAUGCUUAGGUGAAUGUGUGGGCACACCAGGCUAGAUAAGAUUAAGAAUGAAGUUAUUCGACAGAAGGUAGAGGUGUCCUAGACUAAACAGACAGAAGAAAUAUCAUGCAAUUAACCUAAGCUAGACAGAUUUUCAGAAGUGCAAAAAUAGACCAAAUACUUAUAUCAAUAAAGAUAUCCAUUCAAAUGAAUCACCCUUUAUAUUUAUCCAUUCUCAUACAUUGGGGAAUGAAAUGAGUACCUAGAAAUUGGACAAAAGAAUCAGAAGUGAGACAGUAAGCAUCAACACAGAUUCAACAGGAUCAGCUCAACACAAGGAAAUGAGAAACAACAAAAUAACACUUAAACCAACACCAAAAGCUUAUUAGAACACUCAAUUUCAAACCAUAUCGAACAACCAGAGAGAAUUUGAGAUUUGUUUUCAAAAUUAGAACCCCAAAAGAUCACAUAACCAGCCAAUAGAACAAUAUUCAUUCAAAGUUUAACCUUAUCUUUGGAUUUCUUCCACUCUUAAAUUCGAGGAAAGCAUUAAAAUCUAUACAAACCUUUUUGUAAUUUCCUAAGUUUUUAGUUCUUCAAAUCUAUGAAACAGUAAAAACAACUCAGUCGUCUGUAUUUUUUUGGGUUUUUAGCUCUCUUAUUUUUGCCUUGAAAGGCAAGAAUGAUACCUUUUUAUAGGCCCAGCCAUAGGGCAGCCCUCAGGAUCACUUAUUUACCCUUUACCCCCUUUUGAGUUCUUGUUUUAGCUUAGGGGUCCCUACAGUUCUGACUUGCCACUCAAGUUAAACAACUAAAAACAAAGAAAUUUCACCAAAAUCCCCACUAGAAACUUCUGAAAUCAAUUGCAAAGAUUCCCCCAUGUUAGAUUACCUAUACAACCCCCAAGCAAUUGUUAUUUACCUUCAAAGUCAAAAUUGGGUCAAAGUGACCCAAAACCCCAAACCCCUGGGCAUGCAUACCCUAGCCCAAACUUACAAACUUCAAACCAUUUAUCAACGAGCCUUGAGGCUCAAAUGAAUAAGGUUGUUUGGGCCAAAUGAAAGACAAUGUUAUUAAAAAACGUCUCGAACCACCUCACUUAAAUGCAGCCAUGGCUUUUGACAUACUUUAACAUCGUUGGGAUUUAGAUUUGGGUCACAUAAAUGCUCACCCGAGUUUAAGAAGGUAAUAUUAUUAAACUAGCACGCCUAAAGCUUUUCACAUUUGCAACUUUGCGAGGGCCGUGAAAUUUAGCAAAACGGUGCACAUCGAAUUCUAAGUAUCAAAACAAGAUUAAUUAAAGUGAGGCACAUGUAAUUCGUGAUUUUAUUUGGCGCGGUGCACCUUUAUUUUAUUUCUUUAAAGGAUAUUCAACCUAGAAUUUGGAGGGCCAUUAGCUAUUUGUUAUCUAAUUAUGGCUCACCUCCAUUAACUACAAGGACUCGCUGAUUUAAAAGAAAACCAAGAAACCAUAGUUGAGAUGAAAAGGGAUUCUAAAAUUAAGACUAAUGAAAUCCAACCUAUACCCGUUCCAGAAUUUGCCUUGGCCUAAAGCGAAGCUCAUUGGCCCAAAGGACAUUUGAAGGUUGCCAAAUAUUGGAUCACACGGCUAAACCUUUUUGGGCUCAAAUGGGAGGCCCAAAUUCUCAGGGGGUGUCGCUCUAUUAGAUGUCAAAGAGGUCACCUUCGAUCACAGGCAACAACAGAAGACGACUCGACUUUUGAAAACACAAUGGCAAAAACAAAUAAGCGUUACGAAUCUGAGAAUGAUAUCAACAAUUGUAUUAAUAUUUAGAGACAAUGGAAACUUGACGGGAACCAAAUAAGCAUUCUUUUUUAUGAAAUUCCUAUUAAAUUCCAACAACUUUAAGCAUUAAUCAAAGAAGUACUAGCAGUGGGCUUUUUAUUGAACCUUGGGGCUAAAAAACACAUUCAUGGUUGAACCAUCAUAUUCAGAUUAAGAGAUGUGAAGUGUCAAAUUUCACACCAAGUCAACCUAACAUUUUCACUUAUUGUUUAUCCACACAUUAAAUGCUGGCACACUAAUGAAACAAUUAACUAUAUGAUCAGAUUUCCCUUUGACAUGGAUUCUGUAAAAACAUGCCCAUUUCAACGAUAUGAACAUCGAGGCUAGAUGUCUAUCCUUGUGGUCUCAUACGAGUUCAAACAAUACCAAGUAUUUAAAAGAUAUCUAUUACACAUUUGGUACUUCUCAAUGAACAAUCAAACCAAUUUAUAACACAACAAUUCCUAGACUAAACAGACAGAAGAAAUAUCAUGCAAUUAACCUAAGCUAGACAGAUUUUCAGAAGUGCAAAAAUAGACCAAAUACUUAUAUCAAUAAAGAUAUCCAUUCAAAUGAAUCACCCUUUAUAUUUAUCCAUUCUCAUACAUUGGGGAAUGAAAUGAGUACCUAGAAAUUGGACAAAAGAAUCAGAAGUGAGACAGUAAGCAUCAACACAGAUUCAACAGGAUCAGCUCAACACAAGGAAAUGAGAAACAACAAAAUAACACUUAAACCAACACCAAAAGCUUAUUAGAACACUCAAUUUCAAACCAUAUCGAACAACCAGAGAGAAUUUGAGAUUUGUUUUCAAAAUUAGAACCCCAAAAGAUCACAUAACCAGCCAAUAGAACAAUAUUCAUUCAAAGUUUAACCUUAUCUUUGGAUUUCUUCCACUCUUAAAUUCGAGGAAAGCAUUAAAAUCUAUACAAACCUUUUUGUAAUUUCCUAAGUUUUUAGUUCUUCAAAUCUAUGAAACAGUAAAAACAACUCAGUCGUCUGUAUUUUUUUGGGUUUUUAGCUCUCUUAUUUUUGCCUUGAAAGGCAAGAAUGAUACCUUUUUAUAGGCCCAGCCAUAGGGCAGCCCUCAGGAUCACUUAUUUACCCUUUACCCCCUUUUGAGUUCUUGUUUUAGCUUAGGGGUCCCUACAGUUCUGACUUGCCACUCAAGUUAAACAACUAAAAACAAAGAAAUUUCACCAAAAUCCCCACUAGAAACUUCUGAAAUCAAUUGCAAAGAUUCCCCCAUGUUAGAUUACCUAUACAACCCCCAAGCAAUUGUUAUUUACCUUCAAAGUCAAAAUUGGGUCAAAGUGACCCAAAACCCCAAACCCCUGGGCAUGCAUACCCUAGCCCAAACUUACAAACUUCAAACCAUUUAUCAACGAGCCUUGAGGCUCAAAUGAAUAAGGUUGUUUGGGCCAAAUGAAAGAAAACGAAAAAUAAACAACAGAGAAGGAAAAGAACUGAGUCAAGGAACUCAUGGAAUUCAAGCAAAAGAAACAACAAGGAAGGAACACUUAACCAACCUGACAAUCAAAUGGGAAACUGGUGAAUGAAACCACGAAUCAAGCAAGACAAACAAACAAAUGACUAAACAACAUUUGACCCCAAAUGCGUCUGUGUUAAAACCAAAAUUCAUCAAUCUUGAAAGAAAAGGAACAUGAGGCAAAGAAAAGAAGGGGAACAAUUAGAAAAAUGGAGAAAUUAAGGGAGAUAGAAGUACCUAAACAAAAACGGCGAAGACAGACUCAAGCUAAUCGAACCCACUCCUCUGAUUUGAACCAAAAAUGGGUGUUAAACGACUGUUAUUGUAAGAACGGUCGACUGACACUCGUUUCAGGCCCAAAUUGUCUUCAAAACGGGAGGACAUGAACCUAGGCCCUUGAAUGACGAGUUCAAGACUGGAAUGGAUUUAGGUAUGGAAUUUUAGAUCUAAUGUUCGGGACGUUUCAACAGGAUUUGAUGAAAGCUGGUCUGAGAUUUGGGGAGAGGGAGUCACGGUGAGUCCAUGGCCUAUUUUUUAUGGGGUUUGGCGAUGGCGCUGCCAGGUUUGCUGUGGUGGAGAAGAAGGGUGGUUAUCUAGGGAUAAGAGUUUGGGGGGUCUCUGAAAUGACGAAAUGAGGGAGAUGAUUG
rnacentral:lncRNA from 1 species